UCCCACUCCCGGCACAGAGAUACCCACUCACCCCCGGGGCAUUAGGGGGUAACGAUCCCACUCCCGGCAUAGAGAUACAGAAGAAGGGGAUGGAGGUUACCAUAGAGCUAAUUGGGGGGUUGCAGUAACUGACCCCCCGUGUGUUGGUUCCAGGCUAAUGACACGCAGGGGCCACAGAAUGUUCUGAGAUUAUAUCCGUGCCUCUGUAAUGGGAAAUAACUAUCUCAGUAUUUGCUCAUAAUGAAACAUAAUUUCCAGAAACACAAGAUGUUUAUUUGCCCCCACGGCUGCCAAAUGCCCCACGUAAUUGUGUUCUGGAAAGUCUGACAUUUAUCUGUGACUCAAAAGGGAAAAGUUCCGGUUGCGCCAAGUCCCGUUCCUGACGUCUUCUCCCCCCCCCCCAAGAGAUAACGAUUAUUUAAUGGCUCCCCCACCCCUCACUCUUCCCUACAACUAACGAUGCUCGGACUGGUACUGACUGCUGUGUUGGCCGCUUUGGCCCAUGGAUGUGGGGUGCCCACGUACCACCCCAAUGCGAGGGUAGUUAACGGUGAUGAUGCCAGACCCUACAGUUGGCCGUGGCAGGUCUCCCUACAGGUUCUAAACAGCGGAAGUCGAUACGGACACUAUUGUGGGGGGAGCCUUAUUGCCCCCCGCUGGGUCGUUACAGCUGCCCACUGCAUUCAUUACACUAACACGUACCGCAUUGUACUCGGGGAGCACGACCUGAGCCUGGAGGAAGGGGCGGAGCAAAAUAUUCCGAUAAACAACAGCGAUAUCUUCAACCAUCCCAAAUGGAACAGGGGGUGUGCCGAGUGCGGAUAUGAUAUUGCCCUUAUCAAGCUCUCCAGGGAAGCUCAACUCAACGAUAAGGUCCAACUGGGCUGCAUCCCACCUACAGGGGAAACUCUUUCCCACAACCAACUGUGCUUUGUCACCGGCUGGGGGCGACUUACCUCGACAGGACCUUAUCCCGAUAUCCUUCAGCAGGCCGACCUACCUGUGGUGGGUAUUUCUGUCUGCACUCAGUCCGACUGGUGGGGGGAAAUGAAUGAGAAAACCCUUGUGUGUGCUGGAGCCGCCGGCAAGGCUGUCUGUAAUGGCGACUCGGGGGGACCCCUGAACUGUCAGAGCCCUGAUGGAAGGUGGUUUGUUCAUGGGGUCACCAGCUUCGGCCCUGGGGCAUGUAAUUUGCCAAAGAGACCCAGUGUGUUCACCCGGGUGUCGGAAUAUAAUGACUGGGUGCAGGAGAUCAUUGAUAAGAACUAGGAGAGCGAGGGAAUGGACCCGAUGGCACAGAAACCUGCGUGGGACGGAACUGACCCAAUGCCCUUCCCUGAAGCCUCUGAGCCCAACCCAUUGGCUGGAAAUGUCUCUGCUCCAAUGAGAAUGUGCAAUAAAUUCAUUGUACUCUAA